CAGGAAUCUGGCCCAGUCUCUCAGGAUCCUUCAGGAUAGUGAAUAAUUAGACAGGACCCAGGUCUGGGAGCACAGUCAGCAACCUCACGCAAGACCUGGGUUGCCGUGGGCACCGCCCUGGAGCAUGAAUGGUAAUAAUGACAAGACAGGAGGACACUGGCCAGCCACCGCCAGAACCAGAGGACUAGUCCUCACCUCAUAACUCUGGACAUCCUAGCAGACCCGGAUCAGGAACACCACCUAGCCCACCAGAUGCCUCCAGACCUGGAGAACACUGGACAAUCUACCGAAGGUGAACACCGACAAAUCCACACAAAAAUGAAACCCAUCGCUCCGUGGCAACAACAAGCUAAGUAACACCAUUGGUCAGUGGGUCUG